CAUGCCUAACACAUGCAAGUCGAACGGAAACGAUGCUAGCUUGCUAGCAGGCGUCGAGUGGCGGACGGGUGAGUAAUGUAUAGGGAUCUGCCUAGUAGUGGGGGACAACAUGUGGAAACGCAUGCUAAUACCGCAUACGCUCUACGGAGGAAAGUGGGGGACCUUUCGGGGCCUCAUGCUACUAGAUGAACCUAUAUUGGAUUAGCUUGUUGGUAAGGUAAUGGCUUACCAAGGCUACGAUCCAUAGCUGGUUUGAGAGAAUGAUCAGCCACACUGGGACUGAGACACGGCCCAGACUCCUACGGGAGGCAGCAGUGGGGAAUAUUGCACAAUGGGCGCAAGCCUGAUGCAGCAAUGCCGCGUGUGUGAAGAAGGCCUUAGGGUUGUAAAGCACUUUCAGACGUGAGGAAAAGUAAUAAUUUAAUAAAUUGUUACCUUGACGUUAACGUCAGAAGAAGGACCGGCUAACUCCGUGCCAGCAGCCGCGGUAAUACGGAGGGUCCAAGCGUUAAUCGGAAUUACUGGGCGUAAAGCGCGCGUAGGCGGAUAUUUAAGUCAGAUGUGAAAUCCCUGGGCUCAACCUAGGAACUGCAUUUGAUACUGGAUAUCUAGAGUAUGGUAGAGGUGAGUGGAAUUUCAGGUGUAGCGGUGAAAUGCGUAGAGAUCUGAAGGAACAUCAGUGGCGAAGGCGACUCACUGGGCCAUUACUGACGCUGAGGUGCGAAAGCGUGGGUAGCAAACAGGAUUAGAUACCCUGGUAGUCCACGCCCUAAACGAUGUCAACUAGGUGUAUGGGAGUUUAACUCCUGUGUAUCGAAGCUAACGCGAUAAGUUGACCGCCUGGGGAGUACGGUCGCAAGACUAAAACUCAAAUGAAUUGACGGGGGCCCGCACAAGCGGUGGAGCAUGUGGUUUAAUUCGAUGCAACGCGAAGAACCUUACCUGGUCUUGACAUGUAGCGAAGGUUUUAGAGAUAGAACUGUGCCUUCGGGAACGCUAACACAGGUGCUGCAUGGCUGUCGUCAGCUCGUGUCGUGAGAUGU
rnacentral:rRNA from 1 species